GAUCAUGGCUCAGGAUGAACGCUAGCUACAGGCUUAACACAUGCAAGUCGAGGGACAGCAUGAACUUAGCUUGCUAAGUUUGAUGGCGACCGGCGCACGGGUGAGUAACACGUAUCUAACCUUCCGUUUACUCAGGGAUAGCCUUUCGAAAGAAAGAUUAAUACCUGAUAGUAUGGUGAGAUUGCAUGAUAACACCAUUAAAGAUUUAUUGGUAAACGAUGGGGAUGCGUUCCAUUAGG
rnacentral:rRNA from 1 species